rnacentral:rRNA from 1 species
UCUUUGGCCGUCCGAGUUGUAAUCUAGAGAAGUAAUGCCCGUGCUGGACCGUGUAUAAGUCUCCUGGGAUGGGGCGUCAUAGAGGGUGAGAAUCCCGUCUUUGACACGGACUACCAGUGCAUUGUGGUAUGCUCUCAAAGAGUCGAGUUGUUUGGGAAUGCAGCUCAAAAUGGGUGGUAAAUUCCAUCUAAAGCUAAAUAUUGGCGAGAGACCGAUAGCGAACAAGUACCGUGAGGGAAAGAUGAAAAGAACUUUGGAAAGAGAGUUAAACAGUACGUGAAAUUGCUGAAAGGGAAACGCUUGAAGUCAGUCGCGUUGGCCAGGGAUCAGCCUUGCUUUUGCAUGGUGUACUUUCUGGUUGACGGGUCAGCAUCAAUUUUGACCGCUGGAAAAGGGCCUGGGGAAUGUGGCAGCUUCGGCUGUGUUAUAGCCCCUGGUCGCAUACAGUGGUUGGGAUUGAGGAACUCAGCACGCCGCAAGGCCGGGUUUCGACCACGUUCGUGCUUAGGAUGCUGGCAUAAUGGCUUUAAGCGACCCGUCUUGAAACACGGACCAAGGAGUCUAACAUGCCUGCGAGUAUUUGGGUGGAAAACCCGAGUGCGCAAUGAAAGUGAAAGUUGAGAUCCCUGUCGUGGGGAGCAUCGACGCCCGGACCAGAACUUUUGGGACGGAUCCGCGGUGGAGCAUGUAUGUUGGGACCCGAAAGAUGGUGAACUAUGCCUGAAUAGGGUGAAGCCAGAGGAAACUCUGGUGGAGGCUCGUAGCGAUUCCUGCCGUGCUA